rnacentral:rRNA from 1 species
GAUGAACGCUGGCGGCGUGCCUAAUACAUGCGAGUCGAGCGAACGGACGAGAAGCUUGCUUCUCUGAUGUUAGCGGCGGACGGGUGAGUAACACGUGGAUAACCUACCUAUAAGACUGGGAUAACUUCGGGAAACCGGAGCUAAUACCGGAUGAUAUUUUGAACCGCAUGGUUCAAAAGUGAAAGACGGUCUUGCUGUCACUUAUAGAUGGAUCCGCGCUGCAUUAGCUAGUUGGUAAGGUAACGGCUUACCAAGGCAACGAUGCAUAGCCGACCUGGGAGGGUGAUCGGCCACACUGGAACUGAGACACGGUCCAGACUCCUACGGGAGGCAGCAGUAGGGAAUCUUCCGCAAUGGGCGAAAGCCUGACGGAGCAACGCCGCGUGAGUGAUGAAGGUCUUCGGAUCGUAAAACUCUGUUAUUAGGGAAGAACAUAUGUGUAAGUAACUGUGCACAUCUUGACGGUACCUAAUCAGAAAGCCACGGCUAACUACGUG